rnacentral:rRNA from 1 species
GACGAACGCUGGCGGCGUGCUUAACACAUGCAAGUCGAACGGAAAGGCCUGCUUUCCCUUGUGGAUUGCGGGUACUCGAGUGGCGAACGGGUGAGUAACACGUGAGUGAUCUGCCCCCAACUUGGGUAUAAGCCUGGGAAACUGGGUCUAAUUCCCGAUAGGACUGCAGGGUGGUGCCUGUGGUGGAAAACGAUUUUCUAGUGGUUGGGGAUGAGCUCGCGGCCUAUCAGCUUGUUGGGGGGGUAAUGGCCUACCAAGGCGGCGACGGGUAGCCGGCCUGGGAGGCGGGACGGAGAGGUUGGGAAUAGGACGCGGGCGAGACUACGACGGGGGGCAGCAGCGGGGGGGGGUGCAACAGGGUCGGGAGUCUAACCCACCGACGCCGCGUGGGAGAUCACGUUGUUCGGGGGGUAAACUCCUUUGGAGCGGGAGGAAGCCACGUGGUUGGCAGGGUGGUGACGGUAGUGGUAGAAGAAGCACCGGCUAACUACGUG